rnacentral:rRNA from 1 species
GGGUAAUAAAACCUAAAGGCGAAACAAAAGUAAAGAAAGCUUUGCUUUUUAAGGGAAGAUGGUUAAAUUUUAGCUCGCACUCCCGGGGCGUUAAUUACUCAUUGCGAGUAAAGGCGCACCUAGAGCGUACAUGUUGGGUCCCGAAAGAUGGUGAACUAUACCUGACCAGGAUGAAGCCAGGGGAAACCCUGGUGGAGGUCCGUAGCGAUUCUGACGUGCAAAUCGAUCGUCAGAGUUAGGUAUAGGGGCGAAAGACUAAUCGAACCAUCUAGUAGCUGGUUCCCUCCGAAGUUUCCCUCAGGAUAGCUGGUGCCGAUGAUGAUCAGAGUCCCUUUACUCGCAAUGAGUAAUUAACGCCCCGGGAGUGCGAGCUAAUUUUAACCAUCUUCCCUUAAAAAGCAAAGCUUUUCUUUA